AUGCAAAGUUACAUCAAAUGUUGCCAGCAAAUAAAACAAUUUUUUCUCAAAAAAUAACAUUUAUUUUCCAACACUACUUUCAUUUUCAUGCAUUUACGACGAGAUACAAUUUUUCCGCACAGAUUCACUAGUUGGAAACUAACAAGAAAUAAUUAUGCGAUCACAGAAUGACGAAGACGUAGAAAAUAACGACUAACAUCUUCACUUACUGUACUUGGAUAUCUUAGUCUACCUUACCCUUAAAAAUUUAAAACUUUAUUGGUCACAAAAGUAAAAACAAUGUUGGCUUAAAAGUACUUAUCUGCUACAGUCUUGCGAAAUUCAAUUCUGCAAGUUUUGGUAAAAUUUUAGGUCCCACAUAUACAAUGUAUUCAGCGAUAUCAGUAAAAUUUUGAAUGCAGGGCAAAUGUUUACAAGGCAAGAUAGCAAGAAAAGCAAUGCAUAUUAAUUUUGACUAAACUUAUGAUAAAGCUGUUAUACAGUGCAUAUGUGGCACCAAUUUAGUGCAAUCACUUACUUAUACCUUCAAUGUUAUGUGUAUUUCAAAUUGAAUUUCAUUAAAAUAAAUAAUGUUUAAAUAUCAUAAUUUAGUCAUCAAGGUAAAAAGUUACAUAAAUAUAAAUCUGCAGCAGAACAAUUACAAAAUUACUUAUGCGUUUUAUCUUAAUUUAGGUUAUUUAAACGAUUUUUAUAGUUACUGGACAGGUGCUUUCCUGAGUUUAAUUUCAAAUGCAGACUGGCAGUGUUCAUAUAAUAAAUAAAUACAAUGAUAAAAAUAAAUUAUGCAUUAAAAUAAUACAUUUGAAUACAUAAUGCAAGGGCCUGCUUACAUAAAGCGGUUGCAACAAAAUAAAAAUACGUAAAAUAAUAAGGAAGUGUCUAGACAGCGAAAAAUUCGGGGUUCCACAUCAAUAUCGCUAAUAUAAUUAUUAUUAUUAAUAAUAAUUCAAUAGGUAAACAUUAUAAAACUUGUAAAUAAACGUGCAUAUAAGAUUUUGUACCAAUUUAUUUAGAUAUGUACAUAAUAUACAUAAAAUUGUAAGAUUGCGAUUUUUUUAUUUAUAUAAUAAAUAAUAAUUAUUGAAGUACUUAAGUAUAUUAUAAUAGUUUGGUACUUAUAGAUCACAUAAUAUAAUUAUAUUGAUAUCAUGAUAAAGGAUUGCACAUUUACUUACUCUAGAAACAUUUGCGAUUCCAAUAGAUAUAACAAUAAUUUAUAUCAUAGAUUAAUUUUCAUGAGUUUUAUUCUCUUUCAAUGACAGCUCAGAGUCUAAAGCCUUUUAUCAACGUUGAUAGAAUUAUUCGAAUGUCGAAACACUUUGGCAUCACAGUAAAAUGAACUUUAAAAAUCUUGUUUUAAAGCUCAAGUUCAUACAACCAGCGGAAUCUUUUCAAAAUUAAAAUCGUUCAUAUGAAUUUUCGACUUCAAAUCAAGACUCUUGUAAGUCCAUUUUACUCUGACCUUAUUGAGUUUUGACGCUCAAAUAUCAAAGUUACCUUUUAUUUUUAAAUCACUGCAGUACGUGCACCUACCUAUACAGCAGAACCAUGAUAAUUUGUUUUAUUUAGCAGAAUGCAUCAUAUGACAUUAUAUCUAAGUUAUUUGUAAAAAAAUAUGCAGUGAUAUUUUUUCACAUUUAUUACUCAUCUAUAAAAGUCUUCUAAUAAUAAAAUUAAACUAUCAUUUAAGUUAAAGCUGUUGCAUAUACAUAUUUCUUAAGAAGACUACAGAUUAAAGACGGCGAAUAAUAGAAAGUACAGUAUGCUUAGGCAGCUAGCUUUAAUAUGUUGUCUCUUUAAGAAAUAUAGUAUAUUGAUUCUAUAUAAAGUAGGUGUUAUAUUUUAUAUAAUUUAUACACGUGAAAAUACAGUUCAAUGUCGCGUAGUUUACGUCAAUUCUAUUUACAUCUCGCUCACUCUAUAUUUUAAAUGCCGAACGGAAGGCAAAUAGCAUCGACGCCCUUUAAGAUUACCUACGUUAUCAACGAAUAGCACGAUAAUCUCUUACGUAUAAACAAGUUCAAUAAAGAUCACUUGAUUUUAUUUGCCUCUUGCUCACUCUUUAUAACUUCCGAGCAAGAGACAAGAGUCGGGGUCAUUUUGAAUUUGUAUUUGGACGUAUAUUUAAUCAGAUCACAUACUUCAGUAUGUACACGUAGGAUGUGUGAUGAGCACAAAAAAGACUGCUUUAGACGCUAAGUUAGUCCACCUGUCUCUUGUCUCGGAUUUUGACCAUUUUGUAUAAGAACUAGAAGUACUACGUAACAUAAAUGCAACGGCAGUCGUUAGAAACAAAUGUUAGACUUGCCGCCACAGAUUAACAUUUACUAAAUGUUUCAGUUUAUCCUAAAAAAUAUGUUACAAAAAUAUUUCUAAUCAUGUACCAGGCUAUCAAUGUGGAACGACGAAAUUUACCGAAAAAUAAGUGUCCAAAAUUCUAAAAUAAAAACAAAAAUUGCACUUCAGGCACAAGCAUAUUAUUCUAUAACGCAAUAUUACUAUUUAAUACUUUUAUAAAACAUUUGAACAUCUAUAAUUGACUCUUACAUUGUUUAUGAUGGAUCGUCGUAAGAAUUCUCAUUAUUAUUUAUUCUAUAUUCACGUUCAUGAAAGCAGAAAAUAAAUCUAAAAUAAAAUGCUGUCUAAAAAUAAUAAAUUCGAAAUGGUGACACUUGAAAGAUUCUUACUGUAAACUACUACAUUGUUUAAAAACUAAGUCACGCUAAGCCAAAUUAAUGUACUUUAAAUCGAUUAAAAUACGAAUGUCUUACGUUGUGCACAGACAUAAUAUUCUGAAUUCUAAAUGCUUUUUCUCAAAUCGUUUUUUCACAAAUGUAAUAAAAGUUGUCAAUUAACCAUGUAAAUUUUAUUCAAAUGUUUGUUUACCAACUAAGACAUUUUUACUUGAAUCGUCUAUACUUACUUAAUAUUAUGUGCUCGCACAGUCAGCAUCAAAUAUAUUAUGUGAAACAAGUUACUCAAACAUCAAAUUACUUACAAGUUACAGUUCAAUCAUAAGCAUAAAAUAUUAUUAUCAGAUGCUGGCUGCACAAUAAAGAGAUCAAAUAUCAAGGGAUAAAAUUCUAAAAAAAAUUAACAUUUAUUAUUAUUAUUGUACUUUUAAGUGAGCAUUCGGAAAAUGUUACAAGCGCGCAUUUAUCAUCAACAAUAUCUGCAUGUCUUUACUCCAAAUUCUGAUAUGUAGUAUACAAGUCUGUCCGACCAAUAACGUUACAAGUUACUACUAUAACUUAAAAAGAUUGCUUAAUUAAAAUAAUGACAGUCACUUUAUAUUUUUUUUACAUGAUAUCAAUAUAAAAUAAAACAUAUUUCUAUAUUAUAAAUUAUCUUGCUACAUUUUUUAAUUUGUAAAAUAUUAUAUACUAAAUUAAAUAGUCAUGAGAUAAAACAAAGAUUGGAUAGAAUCUAGGCAGACAAGUCGUAAAUUUUAGCCAACCUCCAAGAAAUAAACGAAUAAAGUAAAAAAAAUAGUAGGUAUUGAGUAACUUAGUAGGUAAAAAAUACAUAGAAUAAAGUUAUUGCAUAUUUCACAUAACCAAUCAUCAUAAUAUUUUAAACCUAUUCACACCUAAUCUCUAGUUCACUCUGUAAACCUACCUACUACGGUAAAAUCUAAGAUCCAAUCGAACAUCUUAAAUAAAACCGAAAACUUUAAUAAAUGUGCUAAGGAUAAUAACUUUACACAAUUAUUGCGACAAAAAAGGACCACUUUAUAGCUGUCUUUUCACUAAGGAUGUGCGCGGAUGCGUAGCAAAGAAUGUGUGUGAAACCCACCAAUAAGAUUGCUAGAACUACUACUAUAAAAAAAAUCCAGUACGCGGAAUAAUAGUUAGGUUAAUGUUAGUAUUUGAUAACCUACACAAUAUAUGUACAUUAUACUAUGAUAACAAAACUAUCAUAUUGACAAGCAAUCAGCGCUGUCAACAUGACAGUUUUGUAUGAGUUGACAGCUCUCGAUUCUUACGCAAAUACGUAUCAAACAAAAUUAUGAGACUUUUGGUGAACUCAUGUUUAGAGUGAACUAGAUGUUUGGCACGUUUUGAGACCCUAUAAGUGUAACUUUUCAAGUUAACUAACGUGAAGUUUUCGUUAAGGUUAUAAUAUGGACGGCGCUCCUAGUUAUUUGUAGUGUGCGACUGAACCUUCGGCCAAACCUUCGG